rnacentral:rRNA from 1 species
AUUGAACGCUGGCGGCAUGCUUUACACAUGCAAGUCGAACGGUAACAGGCCUUCGGGUGCUGACGAGAGGCGAACGGGUGAGUAAUGCAUCGGAACGUGCCCAGAGGUGGGGGAUAACGCAGCGAAAGCUGUGCUAAUACCGCAUGUGAUCUGAGGAUGAAAGCGGGGGACCAGGCAGCAAUGUUUGGCCUCGCGCCUUUGGAGCGGCCGAUGUCAGAUUAGGUAGUUGGUGGGGUAAAGGCCUACCAAGCCGACGAUCUGUAGCUGGUCUGAGAGGACGACCAGCCACACUGGGACUGAGACACGGCCCAGACUCCUACGGGAGGCAGCAGUGGGGAAUUUUGGACAAUGGGCGCAAGCCUGAUCCAGCAAUGCCGCGUGCGGGAAGAAGGCCUUCGGGUUGUAAACCGCUUUUGUACGGAACGAAAAGGCUCUGGCUAAUACCUGGGGCUGAUGACGGUACCGUAAGAGUAAGCACCGGCUAACUACGUG